AUUUUGAUUUGACUUUAUUAUCACUGAUGUUAUUGCUGAAUGUGAUGUGUGGAUGGGCAGCAGAAUCGUAAAAAUAAACCCUGAGUAGCAGCUGGAUGAAGCGCCUCUCCAGAGAGCUGUGCACAUUUACGCAUGAGCAACAGCAAAAGAAAAUAAAUAUUUUAAUCACCCGACACACAGACGGGAUCGGUCAGGAGCUAAUGUUUAUUCAUGUUCUGUGUUCUUCUACACAUCCAAAAGGUCUCACUCACUGUCCAGUUACAUACAGUGAAACUGUUUGGAGUACAGCAGCCGUCCUGAUCAAUCCUCAGCUCAACAGAGCGUCUAAACAUGGAUUAUAGAAGCUGAAAGUUUAAUUCAACACAUCCCCCAGUUUAAAAUGUUUUCUCUGUCUGUCCUGUCAAGUUUAUUACUGCAGGUGUUUUUGUUUUGUCCUACGAUAUUUGCUGCGCGGAUAGAAACAUGCAGUAAUGGAAACAGACUGACAGCAGCCUCUCUAAUUAUCAAAGUAAUUUGUAAAAGAUAACACUCAUAGCACAUCAGUAUAACACACAAGAAAGAAAUCACCUGGAAAGCUCCAGGUGUCCAUGCAGGUGUGGUCUCCAAAUCUGAAAAAAUAAUUAGUUUGUGGGGGGCGGGUGGAUGACCUUUGCGUAGCCUAUAUGAGUAUUCUGUUAACCGCAAAAAAAGUAGUGCUGUGUAGCCUAGUGAAUGAUUAAGCUGCUGUAAUCCAUGACUGUUUUCAACAGAUGCUCUAUUGUUUAUUGGAACCUCGAGAUGUUUCUGUUAUAAUGUUGACAGAAAUGUUUCUGGAUUGUGAAGAAAUUAUCUGUAGCCUUUAGUGUCAAAAGCUGGUCUGCUGCUCUGACAGAGAUCACAGCUCAAACCGUGCACAGAUGAUGCAGCUGUGCAACAGGUCAUAUUUAAUUGCUUUAAAAUGACGGCACCGAGGAAAGGACAUCUCAUUUCUUUAAAUGCCUGUUUGAGGAGUCGAGGGGGCAGAAAUUUGGGAAAUGAGAAAGGCCCAAUGUAGUCUUGUGUGUUCCUUGUAAACAGGUCUGUACCUGCUGGAUGAUAGCGGGUGCUCCUUGGGGUUUUCGCUGCGUCUCUUUUGGUAUAUGCGUUGCUCCACUGCUGCCUCGAUCUGUUUUCCCAUGGCAGGUGUCCUCGGUGCUUGCUUUCUCCAUCUCCAUGCGACGGCAUGUAUGUGCAGCAACAUGUUAUCGCACCAUAUUUUUGUCAUUCUGCACAUUGCACAUUGCUGCAGCUCCUCUUUUCACCUUGUGUGUUGACGACAUGUCUCUAAUAGGGGUGUAACAAUCCAUCGAUCCAUAUAGAUUAAAUAAUCAGCAAUCUAAUAUAGUCGAUUUAAAAUGAAAACAUCGAUACGUAUCAUUUAUAAUAUACGCCUUUAUUUUGAAAUCCCCAUAAUACCCCUGCAUCUUUAUUUCCGUUGGCACUGCUCCUUCCUAAACAAUGUUAGCGGUGCCAUGCUCAUGGCAGGUAGCCAAGAAAAGGACGAGGAAAUUUUAGCACACGCUGGAACAAUUCGUUUGACACACAAAACUAAGGAAAGCAAAUGACGUACAUACACUCAACGAAAGUGACAUCACUACAGCUGAGGACUUGGUGAAGCUACUUGGACCAGUGAAAAGUGCCACCAUCAUCAUGUGUGAGGAACAUCAACCCACUGUGUCUGUCAUUGCACCACUUAAAGCUAAAUUGUUGGAGCACUUCAGUGUCUCAGAGAAAGACUCCACUUUAGUAACAGAGAUAAAGCAGACUAUGGCCAGGGAGCUUGAACAGCGAUACGUGGAUGUGCAGCAAGUCCUGCAUAAAGCGUCUGCCAUUAGAUCCAAGGUUCAUGAAGCUGCCAUUCAGAAGUGAGGAGGAGAGCGGUGCAACCUUCCACUGUCUCAUACGUGAGGCUGCAGAGCUGUGGGACCAGAAAAGUGACACAGUGGCACAUAUUGAGAAUACACCUCUUCACUCAUCUGGUGACCAAACUUCUGCUGAUCAAUCUGAGUUGGUGCCAGUGUCUCAGGCUCAAGCCACUGAACAAGAAGUCAAAAGCACUUGAAGAUCUCUUUGGUGACACCUUCUGCACUGUGGACACUAGCCAGACAGUCAAGACCUCCAGAGAACUAGCCCAUGCUGAAGCUACUAAGUAUAAAGACACUGCAUCUUUGAUCCUGGGAGGUAAUGUGUUGGAAAGUUCAACAGGAUGAGCUUCCUCUCCUGGCAAACCUUGCCAAAACAUAACUUUGCAUUCCUGGUACUAGGGUACCUUCUGAGCGUGUAUUUUCUACUGCAGGUGACAUUGUUCGUUCAAAACGCAGUGUUUUGUCUCCUGAACAUGUCGAUCAGUUGUUUUUUUGAAGAAAAACCUCUCAAAGAUGAACACUGAUGGACAUAAUUGACUAUUGUAGAGAUUCCAUAGUAAGCUAUGAUCCAAAUAGUCAUCAAACUACAGAUGACUACAAGCAAAGGACUUUAAGUAUUUGUACUUGUUCAAUAUGCACAAAUUUGGAAUUGUUUACAUUUGCUUUGUUGUGAUAUUUUGAUUUGGUGAAGAAAACUUUACAUCCCAAAGUAGUAGUGGAUAGCUAUGAUGCAGGAAGACUGUACUGCAUUUGCACUUUAAAUGCUGACCUUUGUUUCUGUGAAAAAUAUACUGUUUGAGACUCUAAAUAUGAGUGAAUGUUUACACAAGCUUUAACUCUUUUGUAAAUGUGAAGUUAAAGUUAUUUCACUUUUCAUUUAUAAGAUGGGAUGAACAUGUUAAAGCUCAUUAUCUCUAAACCUCUGAUGUAACCUUGUAAAUCCAAGGUACUAAAGCAUAUUAUGUACACGGUUAUGUUCAUAAUUAAGAAGUCAUAAAGGGCUCUUUAAAGUUAGUUAACUGAUUUAAAAAAAAAAUAAAAAAUUUGCACUGAAACGUGAGAAAUGUGGCGCUAUAGUGAACAACAGGUUAUCUAUUUUAUUUUAUUAAAGAGAUUGUUUUUCUUUUAAAUGUAUGGAAG